AUCGAAAUCCUGAAGUUGGUUAGGAGGGAAUUAAGUGGUGAAUCUUUGAAAGCACAAUGAGGCAUCUUUGAAUAAGGUUAUGGCCCUGCUGGAUAUGCGCUUUUUGUUGCAGUUUAUGCUGGCCUGGAAGUACUUGCAAUACCAACCAUUCCAUUUACGAUGUCAGCUGGUAUUCUAUUUGGCCCUCUCACCGGCACAAUCCCUGUCUCUAUAAGUGGGACUGUAAGUUA